GCGCGGUUGGCGGAGUGGUCUAACGCAUCACUCGAUUUGUGGGUUGAAAUUCCCGGAGAGCCUCUUUCCAAAGACCGACUCUGGGGGCAAACAAUUUCAGUAGAACAAAUGCUGAGUGAAGACCCGGGUUCCAGUCCCGGACCGCGCA
rnacentral:tRNA from 2 species